UCAAGCAGUUGCGUUCUCUUGCGCUUAUGUUCUAGUGAGAAUCGGAAAACAAUGUGCGUUCCGCUUGCGCUUACGUCCAAGUGAGAACCAACCUCAAGCUCUUUCUGGCAAAGAAAUUUUCUGUCAGAUUGGUAUUUUGCCGUAAAAACCCUGAGCGCGCGUAAGUUUGCCACCAAAAAAGUCACGUGAUCUCUUAGCGCAAGUCACCUAUUGUCAAAAUAUAAAUUCUAAGACAGUGGAAGCAUGCUCACCGUUGAAGCUAAAUCUUGCGCGCUGCUCGGACAAUCUCAUCAGGGCACUGAAAUCAGCUGGUUUCGCUAAAAAAAAUAGAUAGAUAAUAUACAAGGACUUCUUUGCCUACCUCAUGCACAUCUAUUUAACACAGGGUUUCACUUGAUAAUCCGUGCCGUAACCCGCGUUGCCUGAUGGUUAUCAAAUGAAGCUUUAAAAAAAACCAGCCUCGGUUAGUAGAGCUGCAUCAUCCUUGUUUACGGGGCUCUAACCAUUUACCCGAACAAAAGGCUUUUAAAGACCAGGUUUCAUCCCAGUUUACCCAUGAACCACUGCGGCUUACGGCACAAAGGAAGAUUCAGCGUAAGGGCCAAUUGCGCUGCCAUUCAUGCUCCCGCACAUACCAAGUGACCCAAGGAAUCGGCUAAUUCAGGCAAGCAACUGAGGACUUUCAAUCAAACUACAAUCGUCGAAAGUUAUUUUAAAGUCCCCUUGCAAAUGAUCCGCGACCAAUUGGUCUCUCCGAGUCUAUAAAAUGCAAUACGGGCGAGGCAUUUAUUAGGCAGGGUGCCUUGUAACAAGAGGCUGCUUACAAUAACUAAAGUCUCGACCUCGCGAGUGUAUACAAUGAAAUCAAUCUCUUUCGGAAUAUUCGGUCUUUGCCACUCCACAUACCUGGUCUCCGUGCCUCCACACAACACAAGCAUACCGCCACGAACGCAAAAAAGACUAGAAAUGCUUUGAGCAUGUUGGUGUGGGUUCUCCAGUAGUCUAAGAGCUUGGUGAUUUCUAUGGACCUUUAUAAUGCGUGUUUGUAAGCGCAGCUGACGCCCACGGGCCGGCCGCUCUCGGGUUACUUCGCCUAAUUUACGUCAACACAACUGAGUCUACAUGAUCGGAUUACUUAAGUCGGCGUUGAGCCACAGCAGCGACUCCAUCGGGGUGUAUCAUCAGUGAAGAAAAGAAAGUUUACUUUAGACAAUAGCUAGAUCUCCAUCGGGGCUUGUAUCAACAAUGAAGAAAGGAAAGCUUAACGCUAUUAACCUUGCUAAAGCAGCUGGGUUUAUACCGUUAAUGGACACACUUAUGCAUGUUUGGUUACUUGAGAUGCUCUUUAAUUUACUGUUUGUAUCCGGGUGUCAACUUCCUGGCAAGUGCGAUGUCCAUCUAGAACAAGUUCCGCUUCACGUACCGGACCGGAAGUCCUGACUCGGACACCCUUAUUUGGAUAUAGCCAGUGUCUCGGUCUCUCCUACGCAGUCGUUCUGACCUCUGCCAAACUGUCGGGCAGGUUUUGGCUAGUGCGUCGGGAGCAGUUCUCGCGCCACGGGGUAGUAGCUCAGAUACGCAACGUAACUUGACCAAGGGAGCACGGCAAAAUGUAUUCCUAUUUAACGCGUGAUUGAUAUUUAAAAUCAACACGUCAUGUGUGCUCGUUUUGUAAGGGGAGUUAUCUGUUGCGCUGUUGGGGGUGUGGGACUCGGAUUACUAAAGUGGAUUAUGUUUGUCAACAGGGUCUUUGUUCGUAUAUUGCCCGAAUCCUUUCCGAGGAUCGAGAGUUACAGUAUAGAAAAAUAUAGGGGAGUGAAACUGUGGUGGGCGUGAUGGCUCUAAGCCAAUCAGAACCGCAGUCUUGGAGGUGUGUCUUCUCCCUAGUAGUUUCCUUUGAGAUAUUUCGAGUCAAAUCAGAGACGCAAGUAUAUAAGGCCAUUACAAAUAACCUAGCCAUGCCGCGAAGACGGACCACAAAGCAAUUUAAAGGAUAAUUUUUCGCUUCGCUUACUUACUCUUCGUUUCGUUGUGUCAGAGUAUUUAUCCUGCGUAGCGGCCCAAGGUACACAGGCUACAGAGUAUUCGCCUCACUGUCGCUAGACUAGGAAUAGCGUUGUCCGUUCGUUCGCACUAGUCGCAAAAUACUCGGUAAGCUUCGUCGACGUCAAGUUCAUUUCCAGGCAAAAAGGGCAAAUGUAUUCAAUAUUCUUCAAGGAAAUCAAGCUGAUAACUGAAUUGCAAAAUUGGAAACCAAAGAAACGUACAAUGGAGAACACUCAAAUAGUGAGCGCGUGGUAAGAAAUACAUGAAAACCCCACAAAGCUUCCAGAACGC